rnacentral:rRNA from 1 species
CCUACGGGUGGCAGCAGUGAGGAAUAUUGGUCAAUGGACGAGAGUCUGAACCAGCCAAGUAGCGUGAAGGAUGACUGCCCUAUGGGUUGUAAACUUCUUUUAUAUGGGAAUAAAACGUUCCACGUGUGGGAUUUUGUAUGUACCAUAUGAAUAAGGAUCGGCUAACUCCGUGCCAGCAGCCGCGGUAAUACGGAGGAUCCGAGCGUUAUCCGGAUUUAUUGGGUUUAAAGGGAGCGUAGGUGGAUUGUUAAGUCAGUUGUGAAAGUUUGCGGCUCACCCGUAAAAUUGCAGUUGAAACUGGCAGUCUUGAGUACAGUAGAGGUGGGCGGAAUUCGUGGUGUAGCGGUGAAAUGCUUAGAUAUCACGAAGAACUCCGAUUGCGAAGGCAGUUCACUGGACUGCAACUGACACUGAGGCUCGAAAGUGUGGGUAUCAAACAGGAUUAGAUACCCCUGUAGUC